CCUUAAUUCCCGAUACUCCAUUCUGCCCAGCGUCAGGAGCCCCGAGUUGAUAUCCGACCCGAGAUCCGGCUGCGCCAGCACCCGAUCCGCGAUCAUCUCCACCGUCACGUUCAUCCUCGCCGUGCGCCGCGCCCGCGCCCUCCCCGCGGGGCCGCGCGCCUUGCCGACCGCCGCGCCGCGGUAGAACAGCGCCGACGUCGUCUCCGGGUACCGGAAUGACGCGAAGUUGGGGUUCUUCACCGACACGUCGGCGGUCAGCGACAUGUUGCUGCCUGGCCGUGGCGUGGCGAUGCCGUUGAUCAGAUCCGCGCCGCAGCAGCUGCAGCAGCGGAGGAGUUGCCGCUGCUGUUUGACGGUGAAUUUGAUAUCUCGGAGAGUUCGAUGAAGAGCUGCCUGAGCGGUUUGGCUGACCUCUGCCGGUGGUGGUCGGCUGAAAACCGUCUUCCGGCCGUGGCGUAUGGCAGUGGACGGUGGCAAUCCCGGUCCCGAUGGCUCCCGAUGAUGAAGGGUCCGGGUUGGUUGCCGGCUGUAGCCGGGCGGCCUCCCAUCUCACUCUUGAGAAUGCCGACUCGGCUGAGGGAACUUCCUUGAGAAUGUCCCGACGAAGUCUGUCAUAUCUCCUAUCAAAUCCGGAGAGGAACUGAAAUAAUCGGUGAUUUCCGAUCAGUUUUCUGUGCUUAUUGAUCCCUUCUUCACACCAGUCGAGUGGAUUUGGGAAAUGAAGAACAGAGGUUUUGGUUUGGUGUAUUGGUUAGGAAUGGUUUUGGUUUUGGAUUAUGAACGAUGAUGAUUCGUUUCUGAGUUCCUAUGGUUGAACCUGCUGAACCUGCUCUGAUACCAUGUUAAAACAUGCUAUUAUCAUAAUGCAUAGAGAAAGAUAAAGAGAAGCAAAUGAUUGUUAUUGUAUUUCUCUUGAUGUUGUAUUGCUCCUUAUUUCUGAAGAAUUCUAUCAUCUUUUAUAAUGUAUUACAUGAUAUUAAAGUCUUACCAGGAUCCCUAUGAUUAAGGGAUCCGUGGUAAAUCUUUGACAGAUAAAUAAAGGCA